UGUAUUUUAGUAUAAGGUGAAUAUAGAUUUUUGGAAUCUAAGGGAAUAGUUUAAUUCUAUUAAAUACAA
rnacentral:tRNA from 1 species